AUUGAACGCUGGCGGCAGGCCUAACACAUGCAAGUCGAGCGAGCGGCGGACGGGUGAGUAAUGUCUGGGAAACUGCCUGAUGGAGGGGGAUAACAACUGGAAACGGUAGCUAAUACCGCAUACCAUCAGAUGUGUCCAGAUGGGAUUAGCUAGUAGGUGGGGUAUCGGCUCACCAAGGCGACGAUCCCUAGCUGGUCUGAGAGGAUGACCAGCCACACUGGAACGUAGACACGGUCCAGACGCCUACGGGAGGCAGCAGUGGGGAAUGUGGCACAAGGGGCGCAAGCCUGAUGCAGCCAUGCCGCGUGUGGGAAGAAGGCCUUCGGGUUGUAAAGAACUUUCAGCGGGGAGGCGUUACCCGCAGAAGAAGCACCGGCUAACUCCGUGCCAGCAGCCGCGGUAAUAC
rnacentral:rRNA from 1 species